rnacentral:tRNA from 1 species
GGAGAGGUGGCCGAGUGGUUGAAGGCGCACGCUUGGAAAGCGUGUAUACGUGAAAGCGUAUCGAGGGUUCGAAUCCCUUCCUCUCCG